UGGGGAAUUUUGGACAAUGGGGGAAACCCUGAUCCAGCCAUCCCGCGUGUGCGAUGAAGGCCUUCGGGUUGUAAAGCACUUUUGGCAGGAAAGAAACGUCGCGGGUUAAUACCCCGCGAAACUGACGGUACCUGCAGAAUAAGCACCGGCUAACUACGUGCCAGCAGCCGCGGUAAUACGUAGGGUGCAAGCGUUAAUCGGAAUUACUGGGCGUAAAGCGUGCGCAGGCGGUUCGGAAAGAAAGAUGUGAAAUCCCAGAGCUUAACUUUGGAACUGCAUUUUUAACUACCGGGCUAGAGUGUGUCAGAGGGAGGUGGAAUUCCGCGUGUAGCAGUGAAAUGCGUAGAUAUGCGGAGGAACACCGAUGGCGAAGGCAGCCUCCUGGGAUAACACUGACGCUCAUGCACGAAAGCGUGGGGAGCAAACAGGAUUAGAUACCCUGGUAGUCCACGCCCUAAAACGAUGUCAAACUAGCUGUUGGGGGCCUUUCGGGCCUUUGGUAGCGCAGCUAAACGCGUGAAGUUUGACCGCCUGGGGGAGUACGGUUGCAAGAUUAAAAACUC
rnacentral:rRNA from 1 species